GUUUAGUCUGGAGAAGAGGAGGCUCAGGGGAGACCUCAUUGCUCUCUACAGCUACCUGAAAGGAAGGUGUGGGGAGCUGGGGGUUGGCCUCUUCUCAACAGGUAACCAGUGAUAGGACUGGAGGGAAUGGCCUCAAGUUGUGCCGGGGAGGGAUGCUACUAAGGGGAUCCACUAAGGGGAUCCGGCUGUUUCCAGCAGGGUGACGGGAUGGACAAAUGAGGGCACAGCAGCCAACUUCCACACAAAGCUUUAGCAAAGCUCACAUACGAAGGCCCUUCUGUCACGAAACACUCAAUGGUUUAAAAUUUCAAUUCACUCUGUAUAUGGCACUGAUCACAUGUAUAUCACUGCUUUUUUUUGUUAAUUAAUUCUCCCUGUAAGCAUCCCAAAUCCAUGUCAGCACCAUAGGGUACAUACGGUACUUGACAAGAACUUCACCUACGGCUUUUUUCAGUGACAGACACUACAAGGUAGUGCUACAAGAACUAACAGGAAGGAAAUGCUCAUUCUUUGCAUUGUUUGCUUCAGCCAGAUAUGCAGCCCCUACAUCCUAACUGUACAAACUAUUUCCUUUCUCAUUAUCUGCUAUCCUUUCCCAUUUCAGGCAACACAAUCCAUACACGUCCACACAACUUUUCUUCUCCGAAAUGCCAGUAUGUUUUACAGUACAUGCCAAAACCAUGAAUACCGCAGGCCAUUCAAUUCAACAUUGUUCUCAGCAACGCUGAUUUUCAGCUUUAGAUCGCAAAGACACAAAAAUCCCCAUGUGGCAAAAAUGCUG